UACGGAGGAUGCGAGCGUUAUCCGGAUUUAUUGGGUUUAAAGGGUGCGUAGGCGGUCCGUUAAGUCAGCGGUAAAACUGCGGGGCUCAACCCCGUCGAGCCGUUGAAACUGGCAGACUUGAGUUGGCGAGAAGUACGCGGAAUGCGCGGUGUAGCGGUGAAAUGCAUAGAUAUCGCGCAGAACUCCGAUUGCGAAGGCAGCGUACCGGCGCCAGACUGACGCUGAGGCACGAAAGCGUGGGGAUCGAACAGG
rnacentral:rRNA from 1 species